UUCUUUCUGUAUUACAGCUAACGCGUUAAACAUUCCGCCUGGGGACUACGGUCGCAAGAUUAGAACUCAAAGGAAUUGACGGGGACCCGCACAAGCGGUGGAGCAUGUGGUUUAAUUCGAUGCAACGCGAAAAACCUUACCACUCCUUGACAUGGAAAUUAUACCUAUUCGAAGGGAUAGGGUCGGUUCGGCCGGGUUUCACACAGGUGUUGCAUGGCUGUCGUCAGCUCGUGUCGUGAGAUGUUGGGUUAAGUCCCGCAACGAGCGCAACCCUCAUCCUUAGUUACCAUCAGGUAAUGCUGGGGACUUUAAGGAGACUGCCAGUGAUAAACUGGAGGAAGGUGGGGAUGAUGUCAAGUCAUCAUGGCCCUUAUGGAGUGGGCUACACACGUGCUACAAUGGUGGCUACAAUGGGCUGCAAAGUCGCGAGGCUAAGCCAAUCCCUUAAAAGCCAUCUCAGUUCGGAUUGUACUCUGCAACUCGAGUGCAUGAAGUUGGAAUCGCUAGUAAUCGUGGAUCAGCACGCCACGGUGAAUACGUUCUCGGGUCUUGUACACACUGCCCGUCACGCCAUGGGAAUUGGUUUCACUCGAAGCUAACGACCUAACCGCAAGGAGGGAGUUAUUUAAAGUGGGAUCGGUGACUGGGGUG
rnacentral:rRNA from 1 species